rnacentral:lncRNA from 1 species
UCUAUUAUGCAACAUUCGAACUACCCAAAUCCAAACAGUUUCAAUUAUACAGGCCACAUAAAUCUUAGAUUUCGACUACUAAACAUUUUUAAAUAAGUAAAAUAACGGCAGGAACUCGAGAAACUAAUUAAAAAUGCUUUAUCAUUCAAUCUUCAAACUCAGAUUUACAUGAUCUUUCACAAUUCAACAGGAAGGGCAAUAGAGUACCUGGAAAUGUAAAGUAACAAAAGAAAAGAGGAAGGUCAGCAGCAGUUCAAAACAGCAAAUCACAACAACAGGGAGCAGCAGUAUCACAACAACAGGAUCAAUUGAAAACUACAUUGCACUACUAUGACCCGGGAAUAUAGGAUAGAUGACAACAACCAAAGAAAUAACCUCAAAACAGCUUUGAUCUAAACCCAAAUUGACUCCAAAUGAAACCAGAGAAACCUUUGAGUUUCAGCAAUCAAACUAGGAAUUUUUUAAGCUAAAAACAGGCCAUUGAUCUAAAUAACAACAAUAGAACAGUAUUUUUAGGGUUUUUGGUUUUCUACUAUUUUUGGAUUUUUGUAUUUUUGAAAUUCAAAUUACAAACAGAAAAUUAGAAGAAGAGUGCCUAAUGAUAGUGGCUGGAAUCUGUGGGAUUUUAUUAGGCUGGAAAAUU